rnacentral:rRNA from 1 species
GGACUACUGGGGUUUCUAAUCCCGUUCGCUCCCCUGGCUUUCGCGCCUCAGCGUCAGAAGAGGUCCAGCAGCUCGCUUUCGCCACCGGCGUUCCUUCCGAUAUCAACGCAUUUCACCGCUCCACCGGAAGUUCCAGCUGCCCCUACCUCCCUCCAGACUCCCAGUAUCCAAGGCACUUUUCCGGUUGAGCCGAAAGAUUUCACCCCGGACUUGGGAACCCGCCUACGCGCCCUUUAAGCCCAGUGAUUCCGAACAACGUUCGCACGGUUCGUCUUACCGCGGCUGCUGGCAC